GCAGUGACAAGUGCACACGGUGUUUCGUCGCUCCGCAUAAUUACAGAUAACUAAGAAUUUCACGAACUACGAUAUAGAAUGUCCAUACCAGUAUAUAUUAGUUUAUACAUCUCUUCGAUAUAGACAAAUCAUCAUUAUGAUUUUGACCUGGACUAUGGAUGUGUUUAUUUAAAGAAGUUUGGAUUUUGCAAUUUAAAUUUUAGUAAUAUAUGCAUUCAAAUUAAUUGAGUACAAAUUAGUCAGUUAUACAGAAAAGGAUGGUUUUAGAGUUGUGUUAGAUAUAUCAGUUUUCUUCCCUGCUUUAGAAUCAGGAACGGUUUUAGUUCUUUGAUAUUGACUAUAGUUAUCAAAUAUGUUUCAUAGCUGUGGUUAGAGCAAGAAGCAAAGGCUAUAUGGCGAAGAGGCGAGGUCUCCAUAAAUUGUGACUCAAUAUUUUAAUUUUAUCAUGUUGUUAUUGAAAAUGCUCUUAUAUAGUAGUAAUGUAGAUUUGAGAAAGUGAAACGGUACUGAAACGGUACUGAAAAAGAAAUAUUAGUGAAAAUAAAAGUG